rnacentral:rRNA from 1 species
UGCAGUCGACGGCAGCACAGUAAGAGCUUGCUCUUAUGGGUGGCGAGUGGCGGACGGGUGAGGAAUACAUCGGAAUCUACCUUUUCGUGGGGGAUAACGUAGGGAAACUUACGCUAAUACCGCAUACGACCUUCGGGUGAAAGCAGGGGACCUUCGGGCCUUGCGCGGAUAGAUGAGCCGAUGUCGGAUUAGCUAGUUGGCGGGGUAAAGGCCCACCAAGGCGACGAUCCGUAGCUGGUCUGAGAGGAUGAUCAGCCACACUGGAACUGAGACACGGUCCAGACUCCUACGGGAGGCAGCAGUGGGGAAUAUUGGACAAUGGGCGCAAGCCUGAUCCAGCCAUACCGCGUGGGUGAAGAAGGCCUUCGGGUUGUAAAGCCCUUUUGUUGGGAAAGAAAAGCAGUCGAUUAAUACUCGGUUGUUCUGACGGUACCCAAAGAAUAAGCACCGGCUAACUUCGUGCCAGCAGCCGCGGUAAUACGAAGGGUGCAAGCGUUACUCGGAAUUACUGGGCGUAAAGCGUGCGUAGGUGGUUGUUUAAGUCUGUUGUGAAAGCCCUGGGCUCAACCUGGGAAUUGCAGUGGAUACUGGGCGACUAGAGUGUGGUAGAGGGUAGUGGAAUUCCCGGUGUAGCAGUGAAAUGCGUAGAGAUCGGGAGGAACAUCCAUGGCGAAAGCAGCUACCUGGACCAACACUGACACUGAGGCACGAAAGCG